GUUUGAUCCUGGCUCAGAACGUACGCUGGCGGCACGCCUAACACAUGCAAGUCGAACGCAGUAGCAAUACUGAGUGGCAAACGGGUGAGUAUAAUGUGGGAAUCUGCCUUUUGGUUUGGAAUAACACGAGGAAACUUGUGCUAAUACCGGAUAAGCCUUCACAGGGAAAGUUUUAUACGCCAAAAGAUGAGCCCGCACUUGAUUAGCUAGUUGGUGAGGUAAUAGCUCACCAAGGCAACGAUCAAUAGCUGUUCUUAGAGGAAGACCAGCCACAUUGGGACUGAGACACGGCCCAAACUCCUACGGGAGGCAGCAGUGGGGAAUCUUGCACAAUGGGGGAAACCCUGAUGCAGCGAUGCCGCGUGAGUGAAGAAGGCCUUUGGGUUGUAAAACUCUUUCGUCGGGGAAGAAAAUGACUGUACCCGAAUAAGAAGGUCCGGCUAACUUCGUGCCAGCAGCCGCGGUAAUACGAAGGGACCUAGCGUAGUUCGGAAUUACUGGGCUUAAAGAGUUCGUAGGUGGUUGAAAAAGUUGGUGGUGAAAUCCCAGAGCUUAACUCUGGAACUGCCAUCAAAACUUUUCAGCUAGAGUAUGAUAGAGGAAAGCAGAAUUUCUAGUGUAGAGGUGAAAUUCGUAGAUAUUAGAAAGAAUACCAAUUGCGAAGGCAGCUUUCUGGAUCAUUACUGACACUGAGGAACGAAAGCAUGGGUAGCGAAGAGGAUUAGAUACCCUCGUAGUCCAUGCCGUAAACGAUGUGUGUUAGACGUUGGAAAUUUAUUUUCAGUGUCGCAGGGAAACCGAUAAACACACCGCCUGGGGAGUACGACCGCAAGGUUAAAACUCAAAUGAAUUGACGGGGACCCGCACAAGUAGUGGAGCAUGUGGUUUAAUUCGAAGAUACGCGCAGAACCUUACCAACACUUGACAUGUUCGUCGCGACUCUAAGAGAUUAGAGUUUUCGGUUCGGCCGGACGAAACACAGGUGCUGCAUGGCUGUCGUCAGCUCGUGUCGUGAGAUGUUGGGUUAAGUCCCGCAACGAGCGCAACCCUCACUUUUAGUUGCCAUCAUUAAGUUGGGCACUCUGAAAGAACUGCCAGUGAUAAGCUGGAGGAAGGUGGGGAUGACGUCAAGUCCUCAUGGCCCUUACGUGUUGGGCUACACACGUGCUACAAUGGCAUCUACAACAGGAAGCAAAACGGCAACGUUAAGCAAAUCCCGAAAAGAUGCCUCAGUUCGGAUUGCACUCUGCAACUCGAGUGCAUGAAGCUGGAAUUACUAGUAAUCGUGGAUCAGCGUGCCACGGUGAAUGCGUUCCCGGGUCUUGUACACACCGCCCGUCACACCAUGGGAGUUGGUUCUACCUUAAGGCAAGGUUUUAAACCCUUGACCACGGUAUAGUCAGCGACUGGGGUGAAGUCGUAACAAGGUAACC
rnacentral:rRNA from 1 species